UGAACGGUGGAGCAGUUGGCAGCACUGUUGCCUGGCAGCACUGUUGCCUUGCAGCAAGAAGGUCCUGGGUUCGACUCCCAGCUGGGGGUCUU